rnacentral:rRNA from 1 species
UACGUAGGGUCCAAGCGUUAAUCGGAAUUACUGGGCGUAAAGCGUGCGCAGGCGGUUCGUUAAGUCAGCUGUGAAAGCCCCGGGCUCAACCUGGGAAUUGCGGUUGAAACUGGCGAACUAGAAUCUGGCAGAGGGGGGUGGAAUUCCACGUGUAGCAGCGAAAUGCGUAGAGAUGUGGAGGAACACCGAUGGCGAAGGCAGCCCCCUGGGCUGAGAUUGACGCUCAGGCACGAAGCGUGGGGAGCAAACAGG